rnacentral:rRNA from 1 species
AUACGGAGGGUGCAAGCGUUACUCGGAAUCACUGGGCGUAAAGCGCGCGCAGGCGGGCUGAUAAGUUGGAUGUGAAAGCCUACGGCUCAACCGUAGAACUGCAUCCAAAACUGUCAGUCUAGAGUGUGGGAGAGGAAGAUGGAAUUAGUUGUGUAGGGGUAAAAUCCGUAGAGAUAACUAGGAAUACCAAAAGCGAAGGCAAUCUUCUGGAACACUACUGACGCUGAGGCGCGAAGGCGUGGGGAGCAAACAGGAUUAGAAACCCCAGUAGUCC